rnacentral:rRNA from 1 species
AGUGAACGCUGGCGGCGUGCCUAAUACAUGCAAGUCGAACGAAGUGGCGCACGGGUGAGUAAUAUAUAGUUAAUCUGCCCUACACAGAGGAACAACAGUUGGAAACGGCUUCUAAUACCCCAUAGUGUAGGAUGAGACUAUCUCGUAUCAGCUAGUUGGUAAGGUAAUGGCUUACCAAGGCGAUGACGCGUAACUGGUCUGAGAGGAUGAUCAGUCACAUUGGAACUGAGACACGGUCCAAACUCCUACGGGAGGCAGCAGUAAGGAAUAUUGCGCAAAGGGGGAAAACCAGAAGCAGCAACGCCGCGUGGAGGAUGACACUUGUCGGAGCGAAAACUCCUUUUAUCAGGAAAGCGGUACCUAAUGAAUAAGCACCGGCUAACUCCGUGCCAGCAGCCGCGGUAAUAC